GUUGACGUUACCUGAAGAAUAAGGACCGGCUAACUCCGUGCCAGCAGCCGCGGUAAUACGGAGGGUCCAAGCGUUAAUCGGAAUUACUGGGCGUAAAGCGCGCGUAGGCGGUUUAGCAAGUUGUAUGUGAAAGCCCUGGGCUCAACCUAGGAACUGCAUUCAAAACUACUAAGCUAGAGUACGAGAGAGGAGAGUAGAAUUUCUGGUGUAGCGGUGAAAUGCGUAGAUAUCAGAAGGAAUACCAAUGGCGAAGGCAGCUCUCUGGCUCGUCACUGACGCUGAGGUGCGAAAGCGUGGGUAGCAAACAGGAUUAGAUACCCUGGUAGUCCACGCCGUAAACGAUGAGAACUAGCCGUUGGGCAGAUUUAACUGUUCAGUGGCACAGCUAACGCAUUAAGUUCUCCGCCUGGGGAGUACGGCCGCAAGGCUAAAACUCAAAUGAAUUGACGGGGGCCCGCACAAGUGGUGGAGCAUGUGGUUUAAUUCGAUGCAACGCGAAGAACCUUACCAACCCUUGAAAUCUAGCGAAGUUCACAGAGAUGAGAAUGUGCCUUCGGGAACGCUAUGACAGGUGUUGCAUGGCUGUCGUCAGCUCGUGUCGUGAGAUGUAUGGUUAAGUCCAGUAACGAGCGCAACCCCUAUCCUUAUUUGCCAGCGCGUUAAGGCGGGAACUAUAGGGAGACUGCCGGGUGAAACCCGGAGGAAGGCGGGGACGAGGUCAAGUCAUCAUGGCCCUUAUGGGUUGGGCUACACACGUGCUACAAUGGGAAGUACAGAGGGAUGCUAAAGCGCGAGCUGGAGCCAAACCCUUAAAACUUUUCUUAGUCCGGAUUGGAGUCUGCAACUCGACUCCAUGAAGUCGGAAUCACUAGUAAUCGCGAAUCAGAAUGUCGCGGUGAAUACGUUCUCGGGCCUUGUACACACCGCCCGUCACAUCAUGGAAGUGGGUUGCACCAGAAGUGGUUAGUCUAACCUUCGGGAAGACGAUCACCACGGUGUGAUUCAUGACUGGGAUGAAGUCGUAACAAGGUAGCCCUAGGGGAACCUGGGGCUG
rnacentral:rRNA from 1 species